rnacentral:lncRNA from 1 species
GAGCUGGCUCAUUAAAGUAUCGAACCAAAAAAUUCAGCUCGUGCUCGGCUCAUUAAUAAACGAGCCGAACACGAGGUGGCCAACGAAUAAUAAGUUAAAAAGAUUAUAUUGGAUAUAUAAAAAAAAUAAAUUUAUAAAAUCUUAUCUAUUAGACUUUGAUCUCAUGAUUGAAACUUUACAUAUAAAUAUGUCUUUUUAUAAUUAAGCUCGCCUUUAUGCUCUUAUUUUGCUAAAAAUCAAAUAAUAAAAAUAUAUAUUAUAUAUAUAAUUAUUUAUUUAUAUAUAUAAAUAUAAGAUGAAUAAAUUAUAUAAAUAUAAAAUAUAUGUAUUCGAGUUGUUAUCGAGGCAAACACGAGCGAGUUGACUCCAGCUCGUGUUCGGCUCGCUUACUAAGCGAACGAUUCGAUCUCGAGCUCAUUUUGAGCAGAACACGAGCUGGCUCGCGAACAGCGAACUAGAUUGCCACCCUAAUGGUGCACGUGGUAUACUUGUAAA